rnacentral:rRNA from 1 species
GACGAACGCUGGCGGCGUGCUUAACACAUGCAAGUCGAGCGGUAAGGCCCUUUCGGGGGUACACGAGCGGCGAACGGGUGAGUAACACGUGGGUGACCUGCCUUUAGCUCUGGGAUAAGCCUGGGAAACCGGGUCUAAUACCGGAUAUGACUCCGCGGCGCAUGUUGUGGGGUGGAAAGCCUUGUGCGGCUGGAGAUGGGCCCGCGGCCUAUCAGCUUGUUGGUGGGGUGAUGGCCUACCAAGGCGACGACGGGUAGCCGGCCUGAGAGGGCGACCGGCCACACUGGGACUGAGACACGGCCCAGACUCCUACGGGAGGCAGCAGUGGGGAAUCGUUGCGCAAUGGGCGAAAGCCUGACGCAGCGACGCCGCGUGAGGGAUGACGGCCU